AUUGAACGCUGGCGGCAGGCCUAACACAUGCAAGUCGAGCGGAUGAAGGGAGCUUGCUCCUGGAUUCAGCGGCGGACGGGUGAGUAAUGCCUAGGAAUCUGCCUGGUAGUGGGGGAUAACGUCCGGAAACGGGCGCUAAUACCGCAUACGUCCUGAGGGAGAAAGUGGGGGAUCUUCGGACCUCACGCUAUCAGAUGAGCCUAGGUCGGAUUAGCUAGUUGGUGGGGUAAAGGCCUACCAAGGCGACGAUCCGUAACUGGUCUGAGAGGAUGAUCAGUCACACUAGAACUGAGACACGGUCCAGACUCCUACGGGAGGCAGCAGUGGGGAAUAUUGGACAAAGGGCGAAAGCCUGAUCCAGCCAUGCCGCGUGUGUGAAGAAGGUCUUCGGAUUGUAAAGCACUUUAAGUUGGGAGGAAGGGCAGUAAGUUAAUACCUUGCUGUUUUGACGUUACCAACAGAAUAAGCACCGGCUAACUUCGUG
rnacentral:rRNA from 1 species